rfam:TPA: Bos taurus chromosome 4, whole genome shotgun sequence.
UGGCUCAGAUGGUAAAGCGUCUGUCUGCAAUGCAGGAGACCCGGGUUCGAUCCCUGG